UACGGAGGGUGCAAACGUUGCUCGGAAUCAUUGGGCGUAAAGCGCACGUAGGCGGCUAGAUAAGUCGGGUGUGAAAGCCCUGGGCUCAACCCAGGAAGUGCAUUCGAAACUGUCUAGCUUGAAUCUCGGAGGGGGUCAGAGAAUUCCCGGUGUAGAGGUGAAAUUCGUAGAUAUCGGGAGGAAUACCAGUGGCGAAGGCGCUGACCUGGACGAAGAUUGACGCUGAGGUGGCGAAAAGCGCGGGGAGCAAACAGG
rnacentral:rRNA from 1 species